AUGUUCAGACUAGCCAUGCACGUCUAAGUACAAACUAAAUGAUGGUGAAACUGCAAAUGGCUCAUUACAACGGUUAUGAUGUACCCGGGAGUUCCGAUGGAUAUUUCCAGUAACACUAGAACUAAUACAUGUCCCUGCGUUUAUUAGUUUCGCACAGUCCGUCGCUGAGUCAUGGUAAACAGUUGAUCGACUCGACGUCCCGGAACAGUUUCCGCCCCAUCAGCUUCGAUGGUUGGGUAUUGGCCUACCAUUGCAACAACGGGUAACGAGGAAUUAGGGUUUGAUUUCGGAGAGGGAGCCUGAGAAACGGCUACCACAUCUACGGAUGGCAGCAGGCGCGCAAAUUACCCAAUGCAGACACUGUGAGGUAGUGACGAGAAAUAAUAAAGCGGGACUUCUGUUUCGCUAUUAUAAUGAGGAAUAACCAAAGGUCAUUCCGAUUAGCAACUGAUGGGAAAGUCUGGUGCCAGCAGCCGCGGUAAUACCAGCGUCAGUAGCAU
rnacentral:rRNA from 1 species